CUUCCAGAUUCAUUCUGUACCAAAGUAUGUCCUCCAGGGACCCCAAAGGGGAUUCGCUCAGGAAAGCCCAGAUGCUGCUUUGAUUGCAUCCCAUGUGCUGAUGGGUAUGUGUCAGGGAAACCAGGCCAAAGGGACUGUGGUCAAUGCAAUAAAGAUGACUGGUCCAAUGAAGAGAAGAACAAGUGUGUGACAAAGCUUGUGGAAGUCCUUGCUUAUGAGAAGGCCUGGGGUUCUACCUUGUUAUCCUGUCCAUCUUUUGGGUGCUUGCGGUUUUGGCAGUAACUAUUGUAUAUGUAAUAAAUAGGCACAUUCCAUUGGUGAAAGCCAGUGAUCGGGAACUGAACUUCCUCAUUCAGAUAUCUCUGGUUAUCACAGUGCUGUCAACUAUGCUGUUCAUAAGCAAGCCAUGCAACUGGUCCUGCAUGGCCCUCCAGAUCACUCUGGUACUGGACUUUUGUCUUUGUCUGUCUUCCAUUCUUAGAAAGAUUAUUUCACUCUACUUUGCCUACAGAAUUUCCAUAUCCAAAACCUGUCUUAUAUCUACGCAUACCAUUUUUUGAAAACUCAUUGUGUUGAUCUGUGUUGUAGAGGAGAUUGAUGUAUGCACAGCUUACUUGGCGUUGGAGCUUCUGAGGAUCUUCAAGAACAUUGAACCUCAAAAUGUAAAGAUCAUCUUUGAAUGCAAUGAAGGGUCUAUAGAGUUUCUGUGUUACAUAUUUGGGUUUGAAGACCUUCUGGCUCUGCUGUUUCCUUACAACUUUUGUGGCUCACCAGGUGCCAGAAAACUAUUAUGAAGGGAAAUUUUUCACUUGGGAUGCUGGUCUUUUUCAAAUGUCUGGAUCUUUUUUUGUCCCUGCUUACUUGAGCACCAAUGGCAAAUUCAAAGUGGCUGUGGAAAUAUUUGCCAUUUUGGCAUCUAGCUAUGGAUUGUUAGACUGUCUAUUUCUUCCCAAGUGCUUCAUUAUCUUGCUGAGGACACAUAUGUACAGUGAAGAAACUUGGUAGAAGAGUCCCCCUGCUGACAGGAGCUUCCAGCUGAGCUCAGCUUCUGUGAGCAGUGAGCUUAACAACACCACGGUGUCCACUCUUCUGGAUGAG
rnacentral:lncRNA from 1 species